GACGGAGGAUGCAAGUGUUAUCCGGAAUCACUGGGCGUAAAGCGUCUGUAGGUGGUUUAAAAAGUCCACUGUUAAAGGUUGAAGCUUAACUUCAAAAAUGCUGUGGAAACUUUUAAACUAGAGUAUGGUAGGGGUAGAGGGAAUUUCCAGUGGAGCGGUGGAAUGCGUAGAGAUCGGGAAGAACAUCGGUGGCGAAAGCGCUCUACUGGACGGUAUCUGACACUGAGGGACGAAAGCUAGGGGAGCGAAUGGG
rnacentral:rRNA from 1 species